UACUUUGCUUCUUAUUCAUGUUCUUCGGCUCGCUUGCAUUCUUCAGUGAUUAAAGAGAGAGAGAGAGAGCGAGAGUGUGAACAGGUGUGGAAGCAAGGAGUGAAUUCCUUGGUGGAAGUGAGCUGUGAGUGGGAGUGGCUGAAGUGACAAGAGUCGCAAAAGAGGAUUAAUUGACUGAGAGAGCAGUUGGGGAGUGGUUAAGAGAGUUACGUAAGUUGGAAGAAUAAUGGAAAGCCGAAGAACUUGAAUUUGGAAUCGGAGUACACAAUAAUUAAGUUCCGUUUUAUAUACUUACAUUAUAGGCGGAUUAAUUUCGCGCAUUACACCAAAAGUGAUAGGGUCGACUUGGGAAAGGCUUUUUCGCCACGCGGUGUUUGACCAAAAAGGGGAUAAAAAGGGAGUGUUUAGUUGACAAGGGGCAGUUUUUCGUUCCCGAUUUGUUUUGCCGCCGUAGGCCAUGUCGGUUUAAUUUUUGUCUGUCGUCGGUCGUCCAGCCCAGAGAUGCGACAUUUAUUAUUAUCCAGCAUGUAAUUUGACUUUGAUUUAGAAUAAAACCUGAUACACAACUUAACUUCAUCGAACUUGUCAUUCUUUGACUCCCGUCCUUUUUUUGUACGUGGGCAGCGCAAGACGGUGGGCGGCCACCGGCCGUCUUGCAAAGCUGUGCCGCUACAAAAUUGGUAGUACGGAUGGGGUCGACCGUCAUCUUCAGCAUGUUCGGGGAACGUUUUAGUCCUUCAGUCUGGUUUUACGCAUAAACACAAUGUUUAUCGGACAUUGAGAUAAAUUUAACAAGGAUAGCUUCACUUCAUGUCACCGGUUCCGGCUUAUUUUUUGUUCGAGGAUGUGAAUUGAUAUUAUUUUAACUUUAACGUUGGAGAGAGAAAUUCAGCUGCAGGGGUUGGAUUGAGCCCCCACAUCGCCCGGGUUUUCGACGUUGGGACCUUACAUGUGCCGUUGAGCUCAGGAGAAAGAACCCUUCGUCCUGGGACUCACGCGUGGCUGCAUUGUAGCGAGGAGUCGAGGGACCUGUGAAAACCACUGCAAAUAGACCUGACGGGGUAGCAUAGCUGGUUUCCACUAAAACCCUCCGGAUUAGUUGGUACCGACGAAGUCUGGUGAUUUCACAUUACACUGCGGUGAGAGGAGUCGUUUAACUGCGCGAGAAUCGUCUUGGAAGGGGCUGUAAAGGAACUCAGCAGGGCGAUUGCUUUUCCUUUGGUCGUCUCAUGAGGAUGGAUUGAGGUUAGGUACUGAAGGCCGCAGGCGCUAGUCCGGCUCGGGGAGUUGGACGCUAUCGAGGAGCUCCGAGACAUCGUUCUUCCAACCAACGCUUCGACACGGCCCUUCAUCUUCGUCAUCGACGUGGUGUGGUAGACCCUGUCUUCGAUAUCUUCGACGGUGGAAGCUGGCACUGUCGUUUGGAAGCCGAUAGCCUUGGCGAGUGAAGCAGCAGGAGUCGCUGAAAAUGGACCCAGAACUGAGAUUUGUGUGGGAACGGUGGAGUGCGCACUGGAAACCGGGGGAUGAAUUUCCCGCACGUUUUUCAGAACCGGAUAGUUUGAAACAAUGGUUAUAUCAAUGGUCUAAUUUUACUGUUAAAGAUGGAAUAUUAGGAAGGAAGGUUCUUGAUCCUUUAUUUGGUAAUAUAUUUCAAAUUUUACUCCCACAGUGUUUGCGUAAGAGUAUUUUAGUUGGAUGUCAUGAUGAAUGGGGACAUCAAGGUAGAAAUAAAACUCAACAAUUAGCUAGGUCAAGAGUUUAUUGGCCUGGCAUGGCUCGUGAUAUAAAAUUUUAUGUUAAGAUGUAUUAAAUGUGCUAAGGCAAAGGAGAUGCAGCCUCGGGUAAGAACCCCAAUGAGACAUCUAAUGGCAUUUAGUCCAUUGGAAAUUAUUGCUAUUGAUUUUGUUAAGUUAGAUCCUGGUAAGGGAGGAUUUGAGGAUGUACUUGUUAUUACAGAUGUAUAUACGAAAUUAGCUCAGGCAAUCCCUUGUAGAAAUCAACACGCCUCAACAGUAGCUAAAGCUCUACAAGAGCACUGGUUCACAAAGUAUGGAAUUCCAAAUAGAAUUCAUAGUGAUCAGGGACGUAAUUUUGAGGGUCAGGUGAUAAAAGAAUUAUGUAGGCUUUAUGGUAUACGUAAGACUCGUACAACACCAUAUCAUCCUGAGGGUAAUGCUCAGGCUGAAAGAUUCAAUAGGACUUUAUUUGGCCUAAUCAAAUCGCUGGAUCAGCGUGAUAGACGUAGAUGGCCUGAAUUAUUGCCUCAUCUUGUCUACAUGUACAAUACCACCCCCCACGAAACUACGAGGGUCAGCCCUUUUGCUCUUAUGUUUGGUAGGAAAGAGCGUAUUCCUUUAGAUCAUUUGUUGGGUGUGUCUGAUGUAGAAUGGGAACAAGACUUUGUUAAAGAACAAGCCGAGUUGGUUGAGAGGGCUCAAAAGGUUGUCAGAGAAAGGACUGACAAGGUAGCAGCCCGGAAUAAGGCCCGAGCUGAUGCAAAUAUCUCUGCAAGUUCCCCUCCCCUGGGCAUAGGAUCUCUUGUUUACUUAAAGAAGUGUGCUUUUAGUAAAAGACACAAGUUGGAGAAUGUUUAUUUUGAUGAAUUAUAUGUUGUUGAUUGGAUAAAUCUUACUGAGGAUAUUUAUCGUAUCCGACCUUAAUGGAGGUAAUCCAAAGAUAGUGAAUCGUAGGCUAGUAAGGAAAGUACCUUCUGAAUCAGAUGUGGUUGACCAAAAUAUGGAAGAUUUUGGGUUAUGAGAGAAGGAAAAUCAUUGCUAGCUACAAGGAUUCUAGAAAAGAUUUUGAGGAUGAAUAUGUUUUAGUACCAGAAAGAGUAACUACAGAAACAGUAGGGGAGAGUACUGGUCUAACCAGAGUACGGAUGGGGGCGUACAAGUGGGCGUACCAGAAGCGGAACAAGUGUCGUCCAGAGGAGAUCUUAAAGACAAAAUAAAGGCAUUCAUUCUAAUCCAUACAACUUGCCUAAGUCUGUAUUGGAAUAAUAAAGUAAUAAGUAAAAAAUUAAAAAUUUACCUUGGGUCUCUGGGCUGGACUCCGCCUUCAAUUAUUUAUGACGAUGACAGUUUUAUUAUUUGUGAAACGAUUAGUAGGGAGUGGGGUAAGGAGCAUGAAUUUGGAAGUAGGUGGUAAAUAACUAAUAUUGAGAAGUUUUGGAGAAGGGGACUCAACUUUGAAAGAAUGGUACAUAAUACAAAUACAUAGGGAUCUGUUCUGGGUUUGGGAGCACCGUUCCCUGCCGGAUGCACCCCAUAACAGAAAGGGGGAAGGAGCUAUACCUACGUAGAAUAGUAAGUUUUUGUCAGACACAUUUUUGGAUUUAAUUAGUUUUUUAUUAUUGUGGGAUAAAUGAUGUACAUCAGUGAUUAUGGGUUAUAUGUAUGAUUGCUUGGUUCUAUUGAUUGACUGGCCCAGUUUGGUUUGCCGACAUGGAUCAUUUAAUAUAUUUUGUGAUAUUAAUUAAUCUGUAAAUAUGUAAUUAUAUUUGUCCUUAUAGGAAAACCACAUAUCAGACGGCAGGAUGGUGUCAAACAGAACUGGAGGAGGCAUGGGAUAUCCACCUCUGAUGGUAGUUUUGACAUCAUCCCAAAGUCUUGGUAAAUGGUAGAAAACAGUAAUGUUUGGGUUAUUUUUUUGUCCAUGUAAUAGGACUUGUAAAAUUUGAACAAAUGAAAAAAGGGAUU